AAAUGGGACAGCUCUUUGCCAAGGCAGUGGAUGGUGAUUGGUGCCUGGGUGGUCAUGGUCCUCAUCUUGGCUGCUAGUUCUUUGCUUUUUGGCGACUGAAAUGAAAAUAUCAAAUAGGACAUCUGAAAAGACACCAAAGGGACCAUUCAACAGGACAAAAGAACCAGCCACCCUGCCAACACCCAAAUCCAAGGCAACCCACAACUGCAGAUACAGGAAACCACAAACUAGCAACCCAUGGCAAACAAAGCCACAAAAGGCCUCCAGAACCCAGCCGCCAGCCUGCCCAUCAUGCACCCAGGAAACAGACCCCAAGAGCAAACAUGAGCACAGACAUGCUCUGCCAGCUCCCAAAAACCAUCCCCAGAAUGCACAACAAGCGAGCCAGCCACCGGAGCCCAAGGAAAAAACCCCACAGCUCCACCCAUCCCAAGCCACCAGCCAAGAGAACCCAUACCCACAAGCACAAAUCACCGAGCCCAGGCACCCACAAAACCCAUCCUCGUUUAACAUGACAAAAACUAGUAGGCGGAUGGUGACAGUAUAUGAUAUUCACUUUUCCAGACUUCAGUAAUUAGUUUCAAACAGGAAGGCUUAAAUUUUUUGGCAAAAACUACUAACAGAUGGUGAUUGUUUUAUAUCCACAGGAAUAUCCAUCACAGGAAUAUCCACAGGAACUUUGGGCCAAGGUUUUUGGGCAGAGGAAAUAACUUGUUUGUACUAAUCUUGAUUCAGUCUGUUUAAAAAUCAUGAAAAUAAACUCUUUGCCUUGCCUACAAGCUUGAUAAUUGGGGUCAACAAUGAUAAUUCUAAAACAUCAAAUAAAAGUGGGGUCCAUCAUGCUUGAGGUGCCCAAAAUCCCAUUGCAGGCCUAUGAGUUACUGUUGCUGCAAAACUUGUUUCUAAAGAUAUCAUGAAAUGUCUGCGUACGUAACCUCUAGAAUGCUUUUCAAUGUGACUUUUCCUUUGUUGAUAACACAAAACAUGACAUUUUUU